CAAUAUAGUAUCCAAAUAGAGAAAUACGAAUAUUCUGAAAAAUAAUAAAUAAGGAUAGUUAGGGCAAUAUUAUAAUCCUAUAUUAAUUAGGAAGUGGUAACCAAAUUAAAACCUUAUAUAAAUCGCACAUAAUUCGUUCACCUUCAUAUGUCGUUUUUACAUAUUCAUUCGUUGGACGUGUAAACAAGCUUUUUUUUGAAUAUGAAGAUUUUUGUGAGGACUUUAGUAGGCACGCAAUUCAAGAUCGAUGUGAACCCUAAACAUACCGUGGCUGAUGUGAAGAAAAGCAUAAAUAGAGCUCUAGGUCAAGUUUUUUACUCUGAUGCACAACAAAUGCGUAUCCACAGCUACAAGGGUAAAAUUUUGGAGGACUCAAAAACAUUGGAGGAAAACGAAGUAUCUCACAAUAGUUUUCUUAUUGUAAUAUUUUUCGAGGUACCAAUUGGGAACUUAGUUUUUUCUCCCAUCCUACCUUUACAGUUUCAUUUAGAGCUAGAUAGUUUACCUCAAAAGUCAUAACGAAUUUUAGUUGAACUUAAUUUUCAAACUUUUUAUUGUUGAAUUCUAAUAUAUUGAAGCUUAUUGUAUUUUAUA